rnacentral:tmRNA from 2 species
GGGGCUGAUUCUGGAUUCGACGGGAUUUGCGAAACCCAAGGUGCAUGCCGAGGGGCGGUUGGCCUCGUAAAAAGCCGCAAAAAAAUAGUCGCAAACGACGAAACCUACGCUUUAGCAGCUUAAUAACCUGCUUAGAGCCCUCUCUCCCUAGCCUCCGCUCUUAGGACGGGGAUCAAGAGAGGUCAAACCCAAAAGAGAUCGCGUGGAUGCCCUGCCUGGGGUUGAAGCGUUAAAACGAAUCAGGCUAGUCUGGUAGUGGCGUGUCCGUCCGCAGGUGCCAGGCGAAUGUAAAGACUGACUAAGCAUGUAGUACCGAGGAUGUAGGAAUUUCGGACGCGGGUUCA